rnacentral:rRNA from 1 species
UACGAAGGGUGCAAGCGUUACUCGGAAUUACUGGGCGUAAAGUGUGCGUAGGUGGUUUGUUAAGUCUGAUGUGAAAGCCCUGGGCUCAACCUGGGAAUGGCAUUGGAUACUGGCGAGCUAGAGUGCGGUAGAGGGUAGUGGAAUUCCCGGUGUAGCAGUGAAAUGCGUAGAGAUCGGGAGGAACAUCUGUGGCGAAGGCGACUACCUGGACCAGCACUGACACUGAGGCACGAAAGCGUGGGGAGCAAACAGG